UAAUGGUGCAUCACUACGUAUCCAUCCCUUCGACGCCUUCCUCUCCCUCAAGCCUCGACCUCGCCGGCAGUCCUCCUCCCGUCCCAAGUCCAGGAGACGCAUGGGAACGGCGGCGGUGGCGAGGCGUCUCGCGCGCACGGACACCCCCACCCUACGCCCGCUCGUGCACGCUGCCCUGCGAGGUUUAAGGCAUCACGCCUGCUGCGCUCCCUUGUGGCGAUGAUGUGGCUUACUGCUGCCAUACAGCGCCUCAUCGAGGAGUAGAGCAGCUGCCCCAUGCCAGCCAAGAUCUUCCAGAUCCUCUCCACCUACCACCGUCAUUGCAGGAGGACUUUAACGAGUGGUCACCAAGAAGCUGCCCCAAAUCCUACAAAAGGCUCAGGUUAGAUGAGCCGCUGACAAAGACACACCUCUAUUCUGAAUUUUUACAUGCGAAGAUGGACCAUCAGCUACGGAAUAUGUUGGCUAACCUCUCACAGGUUGCUAACAAAUUUUUUCUUAUUGUCAUCUUGGUAAUUGACAUUGGUGGUAUUGUCUUUUAGUUCAACAGAAAGUUGUUCAAGUGAAAAUUCAGAGGAACAUGUGGAACAAAAGACAUGGUAUAAAAAGGAAAGGAAAGACUAAACAGUACAAUGAUGCAGAUGAUGGCUACAGAUAUGGACACCUGUAUACAUAUGGGAUGUUUCCUCUGUCAAUGCCGUCCUUUAAUCCAGUUAAUGAUGCUGAAGUUUUCAAUGGCUUUGGCACCGCAUACAUAUGGGAUGUUUCCUCCGUCAAUGGCUCAAUGCUGUCCUUUAAUCCAGUUAAUGAUGCUGAAGUUUUUAAUGGCUUUGGCAUGCAAAGCCAUCCAAAUGUGGAAAAUAGAUCUCUUGGUUGCAAUGAGGGAGUUGUAUAUGAAGAAGCUCUACAGAACUUUUAUGCAGCAUAUCAGUCAAGAAACAAAGGAAGAAGAUAUGUCUCAAGCGGGAUUUAAUCGAUGGAGUUCCGCUGCUAAAGGGCGUGAGAGGCAGUCCCAUCAUUGGAAGUUUACUGUUUGAAUCACAGGGAUCUGGGAUUACACAAGCACAUACUUUACUGAAUUCUAUAGUUCUAUUCGUUGGCACAUCGGUUGAUCAGUUUUGAGGUAAAGCGAAGUUGUUAUCUGAAAAAUACUUACCUACUUUAAGAAGGUCCAAAUAGAAAAAAUGUUGGUUUUCAGGUAUGCUAGCAUUCAAAUCUACUUCGGACACUAGAUCACACAUCAAAAUUUUGAUACCUGAAAUGGUAGCUUCAGAAGAAGGGUAUCAAAAUAGAUUCAUGGUCUCUUUGCUUAGUUCUAUGCUUCUCAAAAUGCUUUAGUAUAUGCCCAUAAUAUCAUAGUACGAAUUGUUCUAUGAGCAGUUUCCUUUGUCUACCAUCAGGGAUAGUAAUUCAUUCGGUAAUCUGAUAUGUAUAUGUUCUGCAUUUCUGACUGAAAUAAUGGUAAGUUUGGCUUUGGCAAUUGGUGUGUGUAGUUUUUUCAGUUGAUAUAAUUUGAUCAUGCUGAAGGCAAGAUAUACAUCAUGGUUACUUCAGGUAGCUUAAAGGGUGUGGGUCAGUGUUAAAUGUGAAAUAGCUUCACCGGGCAAGUUGUUUCACUUCUUUACAUUCAAGAGUUAAACCAGGGACGAAGCACAAUCAGACACUCUGUUUUUGCAAAAUAUUUUCUACCUUCCUCUGUCGUUGAAGUGUAUUGGCUUUCUUUCUUACAAUACAAAACUGAAAAGUAUUGUUUAAUAAACUAUAAUCGAAUUUUUCUAAGGUGGAGAUGAGAAAAAUUGUGAACAAGAUAGAACACACUCACUAUGGUACCUGUGUUUCGUAAUCAAGGUCCUGAAUUUAGCUUGACGAACUAUCAAUUCAAAUAGAUCAUAGAACAAUGGUUAUAACUUUAGUAGGGCAUUCUGUCCUGGAAAUACAAUUGUUGAUAGAUCUGCUUUCCUGCGAUCAAGAGACAAAGAAAACUGGAACGAAGCAAUCCUGUUACUGAAUUUUCGUAUAUAUACGUGCGUCAUCCCUCAAGAGAACUCUUAGUCAGAGUCGAACUCUGCAUCCUCUCCGCCUUCCCUAACCCCUCUCAUAAAUAUCGUCUUCGGUGGCUUGGGGGAGAGGAGUGGAGUGGGGUUUGGAUCCCGUGGAUGCGGACGAGAGAAGCAAAACAUUGAUGCCGGUGGCAAGGGCCUUUUCGAGACUCCGAACGUGCUGCUUGACAGAGCCUGGACAUGUGCAACGGAGGCUCGCCGCCGUCGGGAUCCGGCCACCACGGGCUCCCAGCGUCAGAUCCGUAGGUACCGGAACCAAUCUUGCAGCCACCGUUGGUUUCUCUCGGAGCAAGUGCUACUAUUGGGAUCCGGCUACCACAAGCUCCCCAGGGUUGGAUCCGUCUGUCCUGGAGCCGACCCUGCACCCUGUGCUCCUUUCUCUCGAAGCAAGCAAGCGAUUGACGCAGCAGCGGCACGAGGGAGCGAGCUCUGCCUUGAGGUGCCACUGGGGCAGACAACCACGAGCUCCUCCACCACCAUCUCCUCCCCUACCCGGGUUCAUCUGCUCAUCUGCACCGUCAUGGCGGCUAGCAUCAGUACCUCUAUCCUCCACACCAGUUACGUCACACACCGAUAUCAAUAGGGACUGUACCUUGCUUCCUUCCGACGCGUGGAGGCUGGCCUCCUCACCCACCCCGUACUGCACUGCUGCAAGGACAAACCAACCCAGGAGGAGGCAAAUAAUAUAGUCAAGCAAAUGCACAUAGUACUAUAGGGUCUGAUCACUUCCUGUGUGUACAUUGGUACUGAGUUCAGAAUGCAUGCCAUCCAACUCAUGCAUCAUAUAUAAGUGAUGGCAUGCUGUUGCUGAAUUGUGAACCAUACAUCUACAAAGAAAAUCAUGGGAAACUUCCUUCCGUGUAAAUUGUGUUUGUACAGAUCAACUGCAGCUGUGUAUGUAUUGCUGAAUAUUUAUGAUAUGCAGAGGGCUGUACACACAUAUUUUCAAGGGGAGUAAAAGGGCAGUUGUUGUCAA